CAGUUUUCUGAAGCAGCCCUGAAGACCACCACAGAGGCUUGCCCAGUGCUGAGCAGGACCAAGCUGGAGCUUCAUUUACAACCUGGAUGAGUUCAGGAGCUGCAAUGGUGCUGUGGCUCUGUACCAGCUCUUCAUGGGGAAAAACCUGCAGGACACCUCGAGACUGACAACUCCUCUGACCACAGCUGAAUCUGAGAGGAGCUUCUCAACACUGAAGAGAAUCCAGACUUUCCUCAGCAGACAGCGCUUCACUAUGAAUUGUUCCACACAGAAACCACAGAUGCCCCUGUCAACACCAACACUACAGCAGAUGUAAGGGCCACAGCUGGAACACUCGUGUCACUGCCCAAACAGCUGUCCCACCAGAGGAGGGAAGUCUCCCCAGCUAUGAUGGAUGACUCAAACAAGUUUCCCCCACCAACCCAAAACAACUUCUGAACUUCUCAGUUCCAGAACAAAGCUGCUACAAAUAACCUGGUUCAGCGUUGGAUUGGAGGGAAAGGAGCGAACGG